AUUGAACGCUGGCGGCAGGCCUAACACAUGCAAGUCGAGCGGAUGAAGGGAGCUUGCUCCUGGAUUCAGCGGCGGACGGGUGAGUAAUGCCUAGGAAUCUGCCUGGUUGUGGGGGAUAACGUCCGGAAACGGGCGCUAAUACCGCAUACGUCCUGAGGGAGAAAGUGGGGGAUCUUCGGACCUCACGCUAUCAGAUGAGCCUAGGUCGGAUUAGCUAGUUGGUGGGGUAAAGGCCUACCAAGGCGACGAUCCGUAACUGGUCUGAGAGGAUGAUCGGUCACACUGGAAGUGAGACACGGUCCAGACUCCUACGGGAGGCAGCAGUGGGGAAUAUUGGACAAUGGGCGAAAGCCUGAUCCAGCCAUGCCGCGUGUGUGAAGAAGGUCUUCGGAUUGUAAAGCACUUUAAGUUGGGAGGAAGGGCAGUAAGUUAAUACCUUGCUGUUUUGACGGUACCAACAGAAUAAGCACCGGCUAACUUCGUG
rnacentral:rRNA from 1 species